UAUAUGAAGUUAUAUAUAGUUUAACCUGCUCACUGAAUAAUUUAAAGAGCCGCAGUAUUCUGACUGUGCGAAGGUAGCAUAAUAGAUUGUCCUUUAAAUGGGGGCUAGAAUGAACGGUUGCACAAAGUAUCAUCUGUUUCUUCAAUAAAACUUGAAUUUAACUUUUAAGUUAAAAGGCUUAAAUAAAAUUUAAGGACGAUAAGACCCUAUAAAUCUUUACAAAAGAAUAUUUUAAUUUUUAAAUAAUUAGUUCUUAGAAACUAAAUUAUAAAUUUGUUUUACUGGGGCGGUAUAGAUAUAUUAAUAAACUGUCUAUAAUAUAAAAUCAAUAAAUUGUUGAUUAGAAGUGUUGAUCCUUGAAUAAGAUUAAAAGAUUAAGAUACUUUAGGGAUAACAGCGUUAUUUUUUCUGAGAGUUCAUAUCGAAGAAAAAGUUUGCGACCUCGAUGUUGAAUUAAAGUUCCUUUAUGGUGCAGCAUUUAUACAAGGAAGUCUGUUCGACUUUUAAUACUUUACGUGAU
rnacentral:rRNA from 1 species